GUCCAGGGAUGGGAAUCGAACCCACAGUGUUCCGCUUACAGGGCAGAUGCCAUGCCCACUAGGCUAUUCCUGGAAUACCCUGGA
rnacentral:tRNA from 1 species